ACCCGAAACCCGGUGAUCUAGCCAUGGGCAGGUUGAAGGUUGGGUAACACUAACUGGAGGACCGAACCGACUAAUGUUGAAAAAUUAGCGGAUGACUUGUGGCUGGGGGUGAAAGGCCAAUCAAACCGGGAGAUAGCUGGUUCUCCCCGAAAGCUAUUUAGGUAGCGCCUCGUGAAUUCAUCUCCGGGGGUAGAGCACUGUUUCGGCAAGGGGGUCAUCCCGACUUACCAACCCGAUGCAAACUGCGAAUACCGGAGAAUGUUAUCACGGGAGACACACGGCGGGUGCUAACGUCCGUCGUGAAGAGGGAAACAACCCAGACCGCCAGCUAAGGUCCCAAAGUCAUGGUUAAGUGGGAAACGAUGUGGGAAGGCCCAGACAGCCAGGAUGUUGGCUUAGAAGCAGCCAUCAUUUAAAGAAAGCGUAAUAGCUCACUGGUCGAGUCGGCCUGCGCGGAAGAUGUAACGGGGCUAAACCAUGCAC
rnacentral:rRNA from 1 species